GGCGGCGUGCUUAACACAUGCAAGUCGAGCGGAAAGGCCCUUCGGGGUACUCGAGCGGCGAACGGGUGAGUAACACGUGAGUAACCUGCCCUAGGCUUUGGGAUAACCCUCGGAAACGGGGGCUAAUACCGAAUAUUCAUGCUGGACGGCAUCGUUUGGUGUGGAAAGUUUUUCGGCCUGGGAUGGGCUCGCGGCCUAUCAGCUUGUUGGUGGGGUGAUGGCCUACCAAGGCGACGACGGGUAGCCGGCCUGAGAGGGCGACCGGCCACACUGGGACUGAGACACGGCCCAGACUCCUACGGGAGGCAGCAGUGGGGAAUAUUGCACAAUGGGCGGAAGCCUGAUGCAGCGACGCCGCGUGAGGGAUGAAGGCCUUCGGGUUGUAAACCUCUUUCGACAGGGACGAAGCGCAAGUGACGGUACCUGGAGAAGAAGCGCCGGCCAACUACGUGCCAGCAGCCGCGGUAAGACGUAGGGCGCGAGCGUUGUCCGGAUUUAUUGGGCGUAAAGAGCUCGUAGGCGGCUUGUUGCGUCAGCUGUGAAAACCCGCAGCUCAACUGUGGGCUUGCAGCUGAUACGGGCAGGCUUGAGUUCGGUAGGGGAGACUGGAAUUCCUGGUGUAGCGGUGAAAUGCGCAGAUAUCAGGAGGAACACCGGUGGCGAAGGCGGGUCUCUGGGCCGAUACUGACGCUGAGGAGCGAAAGCGUGGGGAGCGAACAGGAUUAGAUACCCUGGUAGUCCACGCUGUAAACGUUGGGCGCUAGGUGUGGGGGGCCUCUCCGGUUCUCUGUGCCGCAGCUAACGCAUUAAGCGCCCCGCCUGGGGAGUACGGCCGC
rnacentral:rRNA from 2 species